CGGGUGAGUAACACGUGGGUAACCUACCCAUCAGAGGGGGAUAACACUUGGAAACAGGUGCUAAUACCGCAUAACAGUUUAUGCCGCAUGGCAUAAGAGUGAAAGGCGCUUUCGGGUGUCGCUGAUGGAUGGACCCGCGGUGCAUUAGCUAGUUGGUGAGGUAACGGCUCACCAAGGCCACGAUGCAUAGCCGACCUGAGAGGGUGAUCGGCCACACUGGGACUGAGACACGGCCCAGACUCCUACGGGAGGCAGCAGU
rnacentral:rRNA from 1 species